CUUGGGGGGGCGGGGCCUCAGCCUGGAUUGCAAGAGGGUGUAGGCCAGGCCGAUUGACCCCACCAGUGCAGG
rfam:Myotis brandtii contig224660, whole genome shotgun sequence.